rnacentral:miRNA from 1 species
UGACGCCAUCGCGUAUUGGUU